UACGGAGGGGGCUAGCGUUGUUCGGAUUUACUGGGCGUAAAGGGCGCGUAGGCGGCCAGCACAAGUCAGUUGUGAAAUCUCCGGGCUUAACUCGGAAAGGUCAACUGAUACUGUGCGGCUAGAGUGCAGAAGGGGCAACUGGAAUUCUCGGUGUAGCGGUGAAAUGCGUAGAUAUCGAGAGGAACACCUGCGGCGAAGGCGGGUUGCUGGGCUGACACUGACGCUGAUGCGCGAAAGCCAGGGGAGCGAACGGG
rnacentral:rRNA from 1 species